rnacentral:rRNA from 2 species
UUUUUGCAUAUCAAUAAGCGGAGGAAAAGAAACCAACAGGGAUUGCCCUAGUAACGGCGAGUGAAGCGGCAAGAGCUCAAAUUUGAAAUCUGGCUCCUCCGGGGUCCGAGUUGUAAUUUGCAGAGGAUGCUUCGGGUGCGGUCCCCGUCUAAGUACCCUGGAAUGGGUCGUCAUAGAGGGUGAGAAUCCCGUCUGGGACGGGUGGCCGUGUCCGUGUGAAGCUCCUUCGACGAGUCGAGUUGUUUGGGAAUGCAGCUCUAAAUGGGUGGUAAAUUUCAUCUAAAGCUAAAUAUUGGCCGGAGACCGAUAGCGCACAAGUAGAGUGAUCGAAAGAUGAAAAGCACUUUGAAAAGAGAGUUAAACAGCACGUGAAAUUGUUGAAAGGGAAGCGCUUGCGACCAGACUCGCCCGCGGGGGUUCAGCCGGUACUCGUACCGGUGUACUCCCCCGUGGGCGGGCCAGCGUCGGUUUGGGCGGCCGGUCAAAGGCCUCCGGAAUGUAUCGCCCUUCGGGGCGUCUUAUAGCCGGGGGUGCAAUGCGGCCAGCCUGGACCGAGGAACGCGCUUCGGCUCSGACSGCC